ensembl:lincRNA
AAAGCAGUCUCAAAGAAAUACUCCCAGUUCAGCAGCGAUGUGGCUGAGGCCAUCGCCUUCUUUGACUCCAUCAUUGCAGAGCUAGAGACAGACAAACGGCCGAGAGCUGCUGAGGCUGACCUGCCUAACGAAGACGUGGACUUCGAUGUGGCUACCAGCUCACAGGAGCACAGCUUGCAUUCCAACUGGAUUCUGCGGGCACCGCGCAGACAUUCCGAGGCCAUUGCUGCCCAUGCCACCGCGGACAGUCGGUUUCGGAGGAGCACAGAGCACAGGGUCGCUGGCACCCAGCGGAGGCUUGAGAGACACCCCAUUUACCUGCCCAAGGCUGUGGAAGGGGCGUUCAACACCUUGAAAUUUAAGCCCAAAGCCCACAAAAAGGACCUGCGAAGCUCCGGACAGAUCCUUCGCAGCUUCUCCAAAGAGGACAUGGAGUGGGACGAGGAGUUCUUCACACAGGAGUCCCCGCUGUCCCUGGAAGAUGAGCAUUAUGAGACAGAGAAUCCCAAAGGGGAGUGGCUGGUCCGAGAAAGACUCUGGGAACGGACAGUGCCCUGAUUGGACUUGCCUUAGCCUGGAUCUAUGACAGGAGGGCUGCUUUUAGGGCAGUGUGAGAUGCUCAGUUAGAGUUAAAAAAAAAAUGAAAUUAUAAAGCUGUAAGACAACCAAACUCCUCAACGCGCUACCCGUCCAGAGCCCAGCUAGUGCCAAAAAGAAGCUGAGUUUCCCAGGGGGACAUGUCCUGGGGGAGUCAGAGCCUGGGCUUCCCACAGGAGUGGCCAGGAGAAAGCUGAGCCUGGCUGCUGGUGUUCCAGAGCAGAGGGGCAGGGGACCUGAAUGAGUGUCCCUGCCACAUUGCCUAGCCU